AUGUACAUGCAUACAACAUUAAUGCAUCAGAUCCCAUUGGAACUUCACAGUUAAGCACACUUGGGCUAGAGUAGUACUAGGAUUGGUGACCUCUCGUGAAGUUUUAGUGUUUUACAUG
rnacentral:rRNA from 1 species